AGAAAUAUGUUAAACAAAAUUAAGCUUCUAACUUAAAUUUUAAGCAGUGAGAUACUGUUUAUAUUUCUA
rnacentral:tRNA from 1 species